AUUGAACGCUGGCGGCAGGCCUAACACAUGCAAGUCGAGCGGAUGAGGGAAGCUUGCUUCCCGAUUUAGCGGCGGACGGGUGAGUAAUGCCUAGGAAUCUGCCUAUUAGUGGGGGAUAACGUUCCGAAAGGAACGCUAAUACCGCAUGCGUCCUACGGGAGAAAGUGGGGGAUCUUCGGACCUCACGCUAAUAGAUGAGCCUAGGUCGGAUUAGCUAGUUGGUGAGGUAACGGCUCACCAAGGCGACGAUCCGUAGCUGGUCUGAGAGGAUGAUCAGCCACACUGGAACUGAGACACGGUCCGGACUCCUACGGGAGGCAGCAGUGGGGAAUAUUGGACAAUGGGCGAAAGCCUGAUCCAGCCAUGCCGCGUGUGUGAAGAAGGUCUUCGGAUUGUAAAGCACUUUAAGUUGGGAGGAAGGGCAGUAAGUUAAUACCUUGCUGUUUUGACGUUACCGACAGAAUAAGCACCGGCUAACUUCGUGCCAGCAGCCGCCGUAAAAC
rnacentral:rRNA from 1 species